AUGGCCUCUAGAACGCUAUCCUUCUCCUCGCUGGCCUCCGCCUUCGCCCCCUUCGCCGCGCGCUCCAGACCCCGGCACCCUCCCCUCCGCCUCCUCAGACUCCACCCCAGCUCCGGGCAUCUCCUCCGCGCCUCCACCCUCUCCACCGCCGCUGCCCCCGCCCCUGAUGCGGACGCGGACGCCGACCCCUACGAGGGCGUCGACACCGUGGAGCAUCUCCUUGCCCCAAAGCCCACCUCCCCUGGGGGCGGACGCAUGGGCCGCCUCAUGAAGAUGCAGCGCCGCGCCGACGCCGACGGCCCGGCGGCGGGGCGGGGCAGGUGGUUCCCUUACCUGGACGCGUUCCGGGGAGCGGGGGGCGUGGAGGUGACCAGCCAGGAGGUGGUGGACGUGCUGGAGCCGUACAUCCUCGAGCCGCGGCGGGACCGGAUCCGCCGCGCCGUCCAGAGCAGGAGCUACGCCGUCUGCCUGGUCGUGGAGGGCCUCACCGACUUUGGUAACGUCUCCGCGGCGUUCCGCUCCGCCGACGCGCUCGGCGUGCAGUCCGUGCACGUCAUCUCCUGCGAGGACAACAAAAGGUAUAGAGACAACAGGCACGUGAGUAUGGGUGCUGAGAAAUGGCUCGACAUCGAGCUAUGGAGCUCACCUGCAGAAUGUUUUGAUGCUUUGAAAAAGCGUGGUUAUCGCAUUGCAUGUACUAGUUUGGGAAGUGAUUCGGUUUCUGUAUAUGACAUGGAUUGGUCUCAUCCAACGGCUAUUGUUGUGGGCAAUGAAACUAUGGGUAUUAGCGACGUCGCUCUGAAGUUGUCGGACAUGCACUGUAGUGUUCCAAUGAAAGGCAUGGUGGAUUCUUUUAAUGUAUCUGUUGCAGCUGGAAUCCUUAUGCACCAUGCUGUUUAUGAUAGAGUUUCCCGCCUUGGUCAGAAUGGUGAUCUCACGUCUGAAGAAAAUAGAAUAUUGCUGGCAGAGUUCUAUCUGCGCCAUCGAGAGAGCACAGCUACCGUCAUUCAUGAAUAUGCCAAAAGGAAGGCAAAUAAUUUGGUGGCCAAACUUUGA
rnacentral:rRNA from 1 species